UUUGAUUGCCGCAUGACGAUCAAACCAAAGAUUUUAUUGGUAAUGGGAUGGGGAUGCGUGACAUUAGGGUAGUUGGUGAGGUAACGGCUCACCAAGCCCACGAUGUCUAGGGGUUCUGAGAGGAAGGUCCCCCACACUGGAACUGAGACACGGUCCAGACUCCUACGGGAGGCAGCAGUGAGGAAUAUUGGUCAAUGGACGAGAGUCUGAACCAGCCAAGUAGCGUGCAGGAUGACGGCCCUCUGGGUUGUAAACUGCUUUUUAGUUGGGAAUAAAAAGAGGGACGUGUCCCUAAAUUGUAUGUACCAUCAGAAAAAGGACCGGCUAAUUCCGUG
rnacentral:rRNA from 1 species